rnacentral:rRNA from 1 species
UGAGGAAUAUUGGUCAAUGGGCGAGAGCCUGAACCAGCCAAGUAGCGUGCAGGACGACGGCCCUAUGGGUUGUAAACUGCUUUUAUGUGGGGAUAAAGUGCGUGACGUGUCAUGCAUUGCAGGUACCAGAUGAAUAAGGACCGGCUAAUUCCGUGCCAGCAGCCGCGGUAAUACGGAAGGUCCGGGCGUUAUCCGGAUUUAUUGGGUUUAAAGGGAGCGUAGGCUGUCUAUUAAGCGUGUUGUGAAAUAUACCGGCUCAACCGGUGGCUUGCAGCGCGAACUGGUCGACUUGAGUAUGCAGGAAGUAGGCGGAAUUCAUGGUGUAGCGGUGAAAUGCUUAGAUAUCAUGACGAACUCCGAUUGCGCAGGCAGCUUACUGUAGCAUAACUGACGCUGAUGCUCGAAAGUGCGGGUAUCAAACAGG